AUUCAUCUCCGUCGAACCUCCAUCGAUGUCGUCUUACCUUGUCAAGGUACACCGAUCUCGUCGUCUAUGUUCUUCGUUUCGACCCAUCACCUCACAAUCGAACCAUAUAUCAUUCGUUUUCUCUCCUUCAAACCCUAAAUUGUUCUUCGUUAUUAACACCUUUAUCAACCAUGUAACAAAAAAAAAACACCUCUAUCAACCACGCUCGAACACCACCCUCACCCCUUCUUCGAUGCCUUUCGUUGACAGAAAGAAAGAAAGAAACUAUCACGCAAAGGAGCUUUUUGCCAACCCCUUCACUGACGAGCUUCUGCCCUCAUACACAGGUGUUGCAAACUAUUUGAUUUUGGAUUUUAGUGUGGUAUCAUCUAUUUGUUUUCAAUCGCUUAGUAUUGUUUAUUUUGAGGUGUCUUCAUUUCAGUUGGAAUGGUUCUUGUAUAAAAAGGGUUGCUCAAAUGCAUCUUCUCUAUAAAUUUGUAGGUUACAUUAUAGGAAACUUGACAUGCUUUGAUAUAUAAAUUAAGAAGUGGUCAAAGUAAUAGGUUCAAGUUCUUUGAAAUUUGGUGGAUGAGAAUUUUCUGCAUUUCCUCAUAGGAUUGAUUGAAAAGGAGCAUUCUUUCCUGUGCGUUUUUAAAUGGUUUCAACCGCACCAACUGAAGUUCUUUCAUAUGUGAGGAGAUCAUAUACCGGUGAUAUUUACCACGUCUUUAAAAAAAUCAUACAGGUACCAAGCUACCAAGCUUACUUUGCACAUGUAACUUAUUUUAUGGUAAAACUUGUAUGUAUCUGCAAUUGUAAAUGAUUCAGGAAAAUAAUAGGUAUGCCUCAAAUCACACAUUGGGAAUGGAUCUGCCACUCUUAGGUUCCAACUAAAGAAAGCUGACAUUGCUUAUAUAAGACACCUUUCUGCCAGGCUUCCCGAGGUUACAUCUAUUAUCUAUAUCUUUCAUUGAACUUAAUGAUUUUAUUUUUAGUUGACUACAAGAAUCAAGUUGCAGCCUACAGGUAUCUCUUUCUAUCUUUCACUUGUGUAGUUCCCUUAAUAGGAUCCGAUAUUAAAAAAAUUAAACACUUUAUUUGUUGUUUUGUAUACUGUGAAAUGAAUGACUUUCAGGUGAAGAGGGAAGAUUAAAUCAAAUAGUACAUAAAGAUCUAAUGGGAGAGUGACUUAUUUAAAUGAGAAGAAAUUGUCCAUGUUGCGCUCAUGUGUAGACAUAUUUUAGGUGACUUUGUUUAUUAUGUGGAAUUGCAUAUGCCUCUAAGUACUAAGGCACCACAUGUAGAGUUAUAAAUUUUGUGACAAUCUGAGUUGGUAAUUAAGGCUUUUUUCAUGUAUCAAAGAUCAACUAUUUUGAAAUCAGUGGUGUCAUUUAUAAGCAAAGGAUUAAUUAAGUUUGCCAUUUUGAUACCUCUAGAUAUAUUUGAGUUGUAUUUUGAAGUUAGAUUAUUUUAUAACCAAUACUUGGUUAAUAUUGUAGUGCAUGUCACUUAUUUUAUUUCUUAUGAGCAGUUUGAUUUUAGGAUUAAUGAAAUUUGUUUGGUUUUUAUUAUCCAGAUUCAGAAAAACUAGCACUCAUUAUCAGACAUGAAAACAAAUGAGUAUAAGCCAACAAUGGUGGUGUUGACAAGACAAAAGUUGCCAACAUUAUUGUACGCAGAGAGGGAUCAAUGGUGCUUUUACUUCUACUUCAUUUGAAAGAUCAAGGAUGUGAAUUUUGACGUAUCAAUUUAUAUUUAGCUAGUUUUGUGA